AAUGUCCUCAGUCAAGACCUUAAUCAACGGAGUCGGGUGUUUUAAUGUUGGCCAUUUUCUCGUAAAAUGAGGGACCACUGCUUUAUAUGAACGUGAAUCUAGAAUGAUCAGUGAGUUUCGAGUUACAAGUGAAAUGGGGUGGGGGGGGGGGGGGGUAUUUACGAUGUUAUUUACAUCGUGGUGUAUUUCUAUUUGGCCCAGACAGUUUUCGUGUGUGAUGCAGGAUGUUUUGGAUAUUUAUUUUCUGAUGUCCUGCUUCUUUCUGUCCGAACAGUGAGGGAGACAUUUUGGUGGAAAAUAUUUUCGUAACUUGGGACCGCCGCUGGUUUAUGUACGGCGAAUUAGAUGUGAGAGAAGCACUAAGUACGGCCACACGAGGGAGCUCAAGAAUCGUUUUCGAGGGAGACCUUACAAUUAAUUUCAUUGUUGGGUCCCACUUAAUGCUAAAAGACCAGUGAAAAUAAUUAAUGUUGAACCUCGUUAAAAGAAAAAAUUCUGGAACUGUGUGUCUAUUAACGUUGAUCGUAUUUUGAGUAGGCUGCACUAUCAACAUUCUAAAAUAGCCAUUUAAUGUAUUCAGCAGAGGUCCCUCUGUUCUGUUGUCGAUAUGCACCAGCCGAACGGUAACAGAAGCCCAUUCCAGUUUAAAAAAAUUUUUGAAGUAAAGGAGGGAAAACCACAGCUGUUGUGCAAUUGAAAUUAAUGUGAUAUUAGAAUUUAAUGUAGUGCCUUAAUGCACCUUAUAUGUGGAUAUAUUGAAAAAACACUGUUAAAUUGGGUCUUCCAUUGCAUUUAAAGAAAAGCUCAAAUAGUUAUGACUAAGUCGGGGGCUACGCUCGAGUGGGUGGGGGACAGAAGAAAAACAAGGGCAAUGAGACUCAGGAAAAGGAUGACUGAAGUAGGGAAGUCUGAACGAUUCAAACGCGUUGGCCAGCUGACUCCGAAAGGGAAAUAAAAGAAGGAAUAUCUUACAUUUGAAAUCUGAUGUAACGAUCAGGGCGCUCAGUGAAGACAUCUGCACAGAAAACUCAAGGGAAGGCUGGAGUAUUGUGUACUUAUGGCCGGAACCAUAAUCUAUUGCGCAAAUUUUUUGUACUAACCAAAGAUGCCCUUGCUGCAGAAUAGUUUUUGAAUGUAUCGACUUCGAAGCGUCCUUGUUAUAAGGUGUUAAAACGACUAGUUGCGCAGAAACUGCCCAGUAGCCGACUUUCUCGGAGCGACGUUGCGAAGUGGACGUCCGCGCGCUGCUGGUGGCUGGAGUGGGAAGCAUGCUCGCGCUCUCGUUAGGCUGUCGCGUGCUGUUGGUUGUCCUGCUCACGGCGUCCGUUCAAACGGCAGACAAGUCUCAGCUGCUGAUCUCUGACGCCAUGUGGUCACAGGGAUGUGUGCUGAACUGCGCUAGGGGGCGCCACCGAGCAGUGUGCGGCAGCAACGGGCGGCUCUACAAGUCCCUAUGCGCCUUCCAGAGAGCGCAGUGCCUGAACGCACAGCUCAGGAGCGUACCGCGCACGCUCUGCAUAGAACACAGUCAGUCCAAAUGCCAGCUGGCCCGCAACCAGGCGCUGGAGUCCAGUAGCCGCAGUGACGCGUCUGCUGUCUUCGUCCCAGAAUGCACUGCGGAGGGAACCUUCCUGCAGGUGCAGUGUCACAGUCAGACGGGGUACUGCUGGUGCUCCACCGCGGACGGGAAGCCAGUCAGCGGCACCUCCGUGCUGCACCAGAAACCCAACUGCACAGGCCAGUUCUCUGAUGCUCAGCUGAAGCCUAAAAUGGAGUCUGCUCCCAGAGAGGAGGAGGGCAAAAUGACCCCCACUGCUGAGCCCGCCGCUGCCCCGCCCCUACACACAGCAGAAAUCACUGCUCCUCCCUUCUGGGUGACCAUACUGAUGAACUCUGACCCCAAAGGAAACCGCUCUACCAAGCAGCCCACAGACACUCUCCUGAGCUGUGAGCAGGAACGGGUGGCGCUGUUGGCACAAGUGCGCCCCCUGUGGCGGGAGGACCGUUUUGUUCCAGACUGCAGUUCUGACGGGCAGUACAGCCCAGUGCAGUGCCACAGAGCCACAGGUUACUGCUGGUGUGUGAGGACUGACACGGGACGCCCACUACCAGGAACCUCCACUAGGAAUAAGCUUCCAGACUGCAGGGCAGACAGGCCUCUGGAGAGCCAGCCUGACAGGAGCUACACAGACCGACCCCUGCCUGGUUGCCCUGGUGCUCGUAAGAAGGAGUUUCUGCAGAGGCUGGUUCAUGUGCUCCAGCUGCUGGUCAGCCAGGCUGGAGGGAUAUUAGGCCCUCAUGGGAUGGCUGAUGUCCCCGCGGCGGGGUCUGAAUCGCCCUCUCCGGCCCCCGCUGAGCCGGACCCGUCAGGCCCGGGCAGGCCAGAGGGGGCGCUGCGGUGGCACUUCCUGCGCCUGGACGCGGACGGCAGCGGAGUUCUGAGCGAGCGCGAGGCCCGUCCGCUCCGCCUCUUCCUGCGCAGCAGGCUCCGCCCCCGCCGGUGCGCCAAGAAGUUCUCCCGCUACUGCGACCGCAACGGCGACCGCGGCCUGACGCUGGCCGAGCUCUCCGCCUGCCUGGGGCUGUGAGCAGGGUGACAGCCGGGGUGAUCCUGGAGAGAGGGGCUGGAGGAGAGAGAAUCAGUCCAUCAAGCAGCGACGAUUGGAGGUCACCCCCAUCCCACCCCAUCCCAUCCCGGCUUCGUCCGUCUGUCCAUCCAUCCUGCCCUUCAGCCCUGGUUCUCCUGUCCCUCCAGGCCAAAGAGAACUGGUCCUAAACUGAUCUCAAGUUUGUAUUUUGAGUAUUAUAUUGUAUCCAUACAGUACAUGUCAUAUACGGUACGUGUUUUUUGUCAGUUGUUUUUGCAUUUUGUUUGUCUGCCUUCAGUAAUGUCUUUUUUUGUUAUCCUUCCUUGCAUUUUUACGUGUGUCCUGUAUGUCCUUUUUUUGUCUUCUCAGUAAUUUCAUGUUGUUAUUCCCUUUGAAUUUGCCAUAUAAUGUAUAUACCAUGGUCCUUUUUUAAAUGAUUCUUUUAUCCAUUUACGAUUAUAUAACUUUAUUAAUAUGUAUGUUUGUUUGCCAUACAAAUAAAUGUAAUUAUAUACCCACAAUGCAUUUCUGUAGUAUGAUGCAGAUAGUUCUGAGAGUCCAUAUUCAAUCAGAGAAAAGCAGAAGAUAGCUGGGGUCUCACCCCUCCCCCAUUGUACAGUAUGCAGUAGCUGUGACCCCUGGGGAAUUUACAUGUAUCUAUGCAUGUCCACUAGGGAAAGUAAGUGUUCACAGUUCGUUUGUAAGCCAAUGAGCAGAGGCAACAUUGUAAGUUCCUGCAUAAACCAAUAAACCAAGGCUGCUCUGGGUGCUUAGUCAGACUUGGACUCAGGCUCAGGCUCCCUGAAUUACACUGCCCAUUGUUCUGAGGCCUGGAUUAAGUCUACUUCUAAUCGCAAACCAGGGCCUUUAUGAUAUUCUACUCCUAAUUACCAUCUAAAUCCUGGAUUAGGUCCACCAUUAAUUACAAACUGGGGCCUAGAUUAAAUUCCAAUUACAAACUAUGACCUAGAUUAAGCCUACUUAUAAUUAUAAACUGAGGUCUGGAUUAAGUCUGAUUCUAAUUACAAUCUGGGGUCUGGAUGAAGUUUACUUCUAAUUACAGAGGCCUGGAAUAAGUCUACUUCUAAAUAUAAACUAAGGACUGGAUUAAGUCUGCUUUUAAUUACAAACUGGGGCCUUGAUUAAAUUCUACUAAAACCUGGAUUAAGUCUACUUCUAAUUACAAACUGAGGUCUGGAUUAGGUCUACUUCUAAUAACUAACUGAAGCCUGGAUUAAAUCUACUUCUAAUUACAAACUGAGACCUAGAAUAAGUCUACUUCUAAUUACAAACUGAAACCUGGAUUGUCUACUUCUAAUUUCAUACUGAGACCUUGGCCUUUGCUAAGGCUUACUGCAAAGAAUUUUUCUUUUUACUGUGUUGUCUGCAAUUGAAUCGAGAUUUACCUUCAAUAUUAUUUCACAGCCCUGGCAAAAUUGCUUCCUUCAUUCAUGCCUGACAAUUCAGGCAUGCCAGACAUAAAUAAAAUAAGCAGCAAAUCCAUAAUAUCAUUAUUGUCAGCUACAUAUCCUGCAGUAAUAAAAGGCUAAUGCAGGAACGUCUGUUCAAAUCCUGACCUAUUACAAUAGUAAUAUUUUCACCGUACCAGUUAGUCAAAAGAAAAAUGUAAAUAUUUACUGCCAUUGAAUGUGUCACUGUCACACCAGAUUUACCUUUUUUUUACAGAAACUUCUGACAAAAAAGCAAAAUUGUAAAAUAACAAAACUGUUCAUGUGCAAGAUCCUUUUUUUCUUUUUCUUUUUUAAACAUCUGAUUGGACUCGUAUUCAUAUCCUGUGUUGAAACCGGAGGUGGAAAAUCCAGG